rnacentral:rRNA from 1 species
UCGAAGUCAUUGAUCCUAUGCUGCCUAGAAAAGCCCAGCAGCGAGUUGACAUGGUGCCCGUACCCCAAACCAACACAGGUGGACAGGUAGAGCAUACCAAGGCGAGUGGGAUAACUAUGGUUAAGGAACUCGGCAAAUUGCCUCCGUAACUUCGGGAGAAGGAGGACCCCAGUAGCGUGAUGAGACUUGCUCUCUGAGCGUGAAGGGGUGGCACAAAAUUGAGGGAAGCGACUGUUUACCAAAAACACAGCAGCGUGCUAAGCCGUAAGGCGCUGUAUACGCUGUGACUCCUGCCCGGUGCUGGAAGGUUACGGGGAUGGGUUAGUCCUUCGGGACGAAGCUCUGAACCUAAGCCCCAGUAAACGGCGGCCGUAACUAUAACGGUCCUAAGGUAGCGAAAUUCCUUGUCGGGUAAGUUCCGACCUGCACGAAUGGAGUAACGACUUCCCUACUGUCUCAACCAUAGACCCAGCGAAAUUGAAGUACGAGUAAAGAUGCUCGUUAGCUGCAGAAGGACGGAAAGACCCCGUGGACCUUUACUAUAACUUGAUGUUGUGUUUUGUCAUAUGUUGUGUAGGAUAGGUGGGAGACUUGGAAGCAUGGACGCUAGUCUGUGUGGAGUCAUCGUUGAAAUACCACCCUGCAUAUGGUGAGGCUCUAACCUAGACCCGUUAUCCGGGUUGGGGACAGCGUCAGGCGGGUAGUUUAACUGGGGCGGUUGCCUCCUAAAGAGUAACGGAGGCGCCCAAAGGUUCCCUCAGCCUGGUUGUCAAUCAGGCGUUGAGUGCAAUGGCAAAAGGGAGCUUGACUGCGAGACCUACAAGUCGAGCAGGAGCGAAAGCUGGGCAUAGUGAUCCGGCGGUUGCGUGUGGAAGCGCCGUCGCUCAACGGAUAAAAGGUACCCCGGGGAUAACAGGCUAAUCUUGCCCAAGCGUCCAUAGCGACGGCAAGGUUUGGCACCUCGAUGUCGGCUCAUCGCAUCCUGGGGCUGAAGCAGGUCCCAAGGGUUGGGCUGUUCGCCCAUUAAAGCGGUACGCGAGCUGGGUUCAGAACGUCGUGAGACAGUUCGGUCCCUAUCCUCUGCAGCCGGAGGUGAAUUGAGGAAAGCUGUCCCUAGUACGAGAGGACCGGGACGGACGCAGCUCUCGUGUGCCAGUUGUCCUGCCAAGGGCAUGGCUGGUUAGCGACCUGCGGAAAGGAUAACCGCUGAAAGCAUCUAAGCGGGAAGCCUCUUCCAAGAUGAAUUCACCCACAGGGUUAACCUGGUAAGGCCCGUGGUAGACCACCACGUUGAUAGGCCGGAAGUGUAAGCGUGGCAACACGUUCAGCUGACCGGUACUAAUCGGCCGAGCGCUUG